rnacentral:rRNA from 1 species
UCCUACGGGGCGCAGCAGUGAGGAAUAUUGGGCAAUGGGCGCAAGCCUGACCCAGCAACGCCGCGUGAAGGAAGAAGGCUUUCGGGUUGUAAACUUCUUUUAAGAGGGAAGAGCAGAAGACGGUACCUCUUGAAUAAGCCACGGCUAACUACGUGCCAGCAGCCGCGGUAAUACGUAGGUGGCAAGCGUUGUCCGGAUUUACUGGGUGUAAAGGGCGUGCAGCCGGGCUGACAAGUCAGAUGUGAAAUCCCGUGGCUCAACCACGGAACUGCAUUUGAAACUGUCGGUCUUGAGUAUCGGAGAGG